rnacentral:rRNA from 1 species
AACGAACGCUGGCGGCAGGCCUAACACAUGCAAGUCGAACGAGACCUUCGGGUCUAGUUGCGCACGGGUGCGUAAAGCGUGGGAACCUGCCCUUAGGUUCGGAAUAACUCCCCGAAAGGGGUGCUAAUACCGGGUAAUGUCUUCGGACCAAAGAUUUAUCCCCUUUGGAGGGGCCCGCGUUGGCUUAGCUAGUUGGGAUGGUAAAAGCCUACCAAGGCGACGAUCCAUAGCUGGUCAGAGAGGCUGAUCAGCCACACUGGGACUGAGACACGGCCCAGACUCCUGCGGGAGGCAGCAGUGGGGAAUAUUGGACAAUGGGCUAAAGCCUGAUCCAGCAAUGCCUCGUGAGUGAUGAAGGCCUUAGGGUUGUAAAGCUCUUUUACCCGGGACUAUAAUGACAGUACCGGGAGAAUAAGCUCCGGCUAACUCCGUG